UGAAGAAAGCCGUAAAUCGAUUCCAUCUCUCUUCUCCCAUCGGCACAUCUUACAGCGCCGUCUGCUCAAAUUCCGGCCAGCGACGAGCCGUCACCACCGCCGACGACUCCAGCGGCUUGAAGUCAGCACUGCAGGCGUCGUCGACGGCCUGGUGGAGUCAGCACAGCACAGCAGGCGUCCGCUGCUGUCUCAGGGAACUCGCAGCAGGACUCCCUCCGCCGGCGCCAUCUUUUCCCCGGUGGAGUUCCUUCCUUUUCCGUCUCUUUUCGGCAUCUCCGAGGACAGCUACUAUACUGCGAGGCACGCGAGUUUCCUCCGUCCAGCGCCGGCGCCUUCCCGUCGUCACCGCCGCCUCGCUGGUUGUCCGGCUGAAGCACCACCGAGGCAGCUUCCGCCAUUGCAGACAAGCUCUCCACAGGGCGGUCGUCGCUUGCUUAUCUCGCGACCGCCGCUGCACGUCGGGAAUCGCCUGCGGCCUCGACUCUCAACCGCUCCUGAUGCUCCGCCGUCGGGUCGCCGCUGUCUCGCAGUCAGCGCCGCCAUCUCGCUUAUUUCCAAUUAAGCCUCUCGGGCAGUAACUAUGGAGCAGUAACUAUUUGUUGUUGGGAGAAUUUGGUUCCUUUUUGGUUAAUAGUGGCUCAUUAAAUUAGGGCUUGAGAACAGUGCAUAUGUUAACUUAUUGGCUGAGUGCUGCUACUGAAAGAUUUUGUAUAAGUUGAAGCCAUGAACCUUACUAACUUGUGAAACUUAGCAAUUUGUUCCUUUGAGUAUUUCUUUGUGCAAGCUACUUAUACUCUUGAAACUUAAUAUGCUGUGAUUCCUAGUACGAGGUGCUAUUACAUGAUGACAUAGCGUAGGUUUUGAGGUAGAAGGGAGGUGGAGGUUACCUUCUUUGCACUGUUUCUGCUUUUCUACUCCUAGCUUCAAUCUCUCUCCCACUCUCAACUCGAUAAUUUGCUGAUUGAAUAUGUUGUGGCAAGGGAGUGAGGCCCUGGAAGAUGUAAUAUAUAUAGGAGCCUGCAGGGCAGAUUGUGUGCAGGAAUGAAAUCUCUAAUUUGGUUAUGUGUUGGCUGUCUUCUUGUGGUAGUACAGGGUGUGUACUCGUGGAAAUAAAUGCAAUGUUCUUCCCAUUUGUGAUUCUACUGUGGGAGUCCUCUUUCUCUGUCCCUUGCCGCACCUUUAACUGAAUUUUGGUGUUGAUUUGCAGGUGUACCAGGUGGAGCAGAUGCUGUUGGAGCUUGGGUGCAGGGUUGUUGCAGCUGCCACGGCUGUUCCCCCCUUUCUGGCUUGUUGCAGCUUUGGUUAUGGGGUUGAGGAGGUUGUAUGAGCUGGCUGCACUCUAACCUUGCUGAUUUUUGGCAAGUAUUUCGGCCUUCAUCAAAGGUGGGGAAAAGGUUGGCUGGUUGUGGUCGUUGGUAGCCCUCGGCAUCAGGCUGCAUUCUCGGGUCUCGAAUAGAGAUGACUUGGACUCGUGAAGAAUAGAUUCAAGGCGUUUAGCCCUUUGAUAUUCCUAUUUAUUAUUCUCUUUUUGUAAGUUAAGACAUAGCUUGGAGAACUAACAACGUUGUAAUUUAUUUACUUAAAGGAAUAAACAAACGCGUAUUCAUUCUUAA